AUGCUACUAGUUUAGUGGUAAAAUUCGUCCUUGCCAUGGAUGAGAUCUGGGUUCGAUUCCCAGGUAGCAUA
rnacentral:tRNA from 1 species